GUUAUAUGGUCAAGUGAAGAAGCGCAUACGGUGGAUGCCUUGGCAGUCAGAGGCGAUGAAAGACGUGGUAGCCUGCGAAAAGCUUCGGGGAGUCGGCAAACAGACUUUGAUCCGGAGAUGUCUGAAUGGGGGAACCCAGCCAUCAUAAGAUGGUUAUCUUGUACUGAAUACAUAGGUGCAAGAGGCGAACCAGGGGAACUGAAACAUCUAAGUACCCUGAGGAAAAGAAAUCAACCGAGAUUCCCUUAGUAGUGGCGAGCGAACGGGGACUAGCCCUUAAGUGGCUUUGAGAUUAGCGGAACGCUCUGGAAAGUGCGGCCAUAGUGGGUGAUAGCCCUGUACGCGAAAAUCUCUUGGUCAUGAAAUCGAGUAGGACGGGGCACGAGAAACCUUGUCUGAAUAUGGGGGGACCAUCCUCCAAGGCUAAAUACUACUGACUGACCGAUAGUGAACUAGUACCGUGAGGGAAAGGCGAAAAGAACCCCGGAGAGGGGAGUGAAAUAGAUCCUGAAACCGUAUGCGUACAAGCAGUGGGAGCCCACGUUGUUGGGUGACUGCGUACCUUUUGUAUAAUGGGUCAGCGACUUAUUUUCAGUGGCGAGCUUAACCGAAUAGGGGAGGCGUAGCGAAAGCGAGUCUUAAUAGGGCGUCUAGUCGCUGGGAAUAGACCCGAAACCGGGCGAUCUAUCCAUGGGCAGGUUGAAGGUUGGGUAACACUAACUGGAGGACCGAACCGACUACCGUUGAAAAGUUAGCGGAUGACCUGUGGAUCGGAGUGAAAGGCUAAUCAAGCUCGGAGAUAGCUGGUUCUCCUCGAAAGCUAUUUAGGUAGCGCCUCAUGUAUCACUGUAGGGGGUAGAGCACUGUUUCGGCUAGGGGGUCAUCCCGACUUACCAAACCGAUGCAAACUCCGAAUACCUACAAGUGCCGAGCAUGGGAGACACACGGCGGGUGCUAACGUCCGUCGUGAAAAGGGAAACAACCCAGACCGUCAGCUAAGGUCCCAAAGUCAUGGUUAAGUGGGAAACGAUGUGGGAAGGCUUAGACAGCUAGGAGGUUGGCUUAGAAGCAGCCACCCUUUAAAGAAAGCGUAAUAGCUCACUAGUCGAGUCGGCCUGCGCGGAAGAUGUAACGGGGCUCAAACCAUGCACCGAAGCUACGGGUAUCACUUAGGUGAUGCGGUAGAGGAGCGUUCUGUAAGCCUGUGAAGGUGAGUUGAGAAGCUUGCUGGAGGUAUCAGAAGUGCGAAUGCUGACAUGAGUAACGACAAUGGGUGUGAAAAACACCCACGCCGAAAGACCAAGGUUUCCUGCGCAACGUUAAUCGACGCAGGGUUAGUCGGUCCCUAAGGCGAGGCUGAAAAGCGUAGUCGAUGGAAAACAGGUUAAUAUUCCUGUACUUCUGGUUAUUGCGAUGGAGGGACGGAGAAGGCUAGGCCAGCUUGGCGUUGGUUGUCCAAGUUUAAGGUGGUAGGCUGGACUCUUAGGUAAAUCCGGGAGUCUAAGGCCGAGAGCUGAUGACGAGUUGCCAUUAGGCGACGAAGUGGUUGAUGCCAUGCUUCCAAGAAAAGCUUCUAAGCUUCAGGUAACCAGGAACCGUACCCCAAACCGACACAGGUGGUUGGGUAGAGAAUACCAAGGCGCUUGAGAGAACUCGGGUGAAGGAACUAGGCAAAAUGGCACCGUAACUUCGGGAGAAGGUGCGCCGGUGAGGGUGAAGGACUUGCUCCGUAAGCCCAUGCCGGUCGAAGAUACCAGGCCGCUGCGACUGUUUAUUAAAAACACAGCACUCUGCAAACACGAAAGUGGACGUAUAGGGUGUGACGCCUGCCCGGUGCCGGAAGGUUAAUUGAUGGGGUUAGCUAACGCGAAGCUCUUGAUCGAAGCCCCGGUAAACGGCGGCCGUAACUAUAACGGUCCUAAGGUAGCGAAAUUCCUUGUCGGGUAAGUUCCGACCUGCACGAAUGGCGUAACGAUGGCGGCGCUGUCUCCACCCGAGACUCAGUGAAAUUGAAAUCGCUGUGAAGAUGCAGUGUAUCCGCGGCUAGACGGAAAGACCCCGUGAACCUUUACUAUAGCUUUGCACUGGACUUUGAAUUUGCUUGUGUAGGAUAGGUGGGAGGCUUUGAAGCGUGGACGCCAGUUCGCGUGGAGCCAACCUUGAAAUACCACCCUGGCAACUUUGAGGUUCUAACUCAGGUCCGUUAUCCGGAUCGAGGACAGUGUAUGGUGGGUAGUUUGACUGGGGCGGUCUCCUCCUAAAGAGUAACGGAGGAGUACGAAGGUGCGCUCAGACCGGUCGGAAAUCGGUCGUAGAGUAUAAAGGCAAAAGCGCGCUUGACUGCGAGACAGACACGUCGAGCAGGUACGAAAGUAGGUCUUAGUGAUCCGGUGGUUCUGUAUGGAAGGGCCAUCGCUCAACGGAUAAAAGGUACUCCGGGGAUAACAGGCUGAUACCGCCCAAGAGUUCAUAUCGACGGCGGUGUUUGGCACCUCGAUGUCGGCUCAUCACAUCCUGGGGCUGAAGCCGGUCCCAAGGGUAUGGCUGUUCGCCAUUUAAAGUGGUACGCGAGCUGGGUUUAGAACGUCGUGAGACAGUUCGGUCCCUAUCUGCCGUGGACGUUUGAGAUUUGAGAGGGGCUGCUCCUAGUACGAGAGGACCGGAGUGGACGAACCUCUGGUGUUCCGGUUGUCACGCCAGUGGCAUUGCCGGGUAGCUAUGUUCGGGAAAGAUAACCGCUGAAAGCAUCUAAGCGGGAAACUUGCCUCAAGAUGAGAUCUCACUGGAACCUUGAGUUCCCUGAAGGGCCGUCGAAGACUACGACGUUGAUAGGUUGGGUGUGUAAGCGCUGUGAGGCGUUGAGCUAACCAAUACUAAUUGCCCGUGAGGCUUGACCAUAUAACACCCAAGCAAUU
rnacentral:rRNA from 1 species